rnacentral:lncRNA from 1 species
AACAGUAGAGUGUAGAGGAAACUGUAACUUGUAAUGUUCAAUAUUAUGAAUUUGGAAGAAAGUUUGCAGUUAUUUUGCUCAAUGGUUAUACAUGCUGUUACAUUAAAUCCUCUGUAUCCUGUAUAAUACAGAAACCCUGCUCAGAAACCAGAAGCCCUUGUACCUGUUCCCACAAAGACUGCGUAUUCUAGCUUGUUUGGCAGCUCUAUUACUUGUCUUUCUAAUGCAAGAAACAUGACAGGCCAAUUGUCUGAAGUCAUUUUGAAAGGAAAAUGAGCUUCAUUGCAUUUUUCCUGAAUAUCAUUCUUGUGUUGGUAUUUUUUUCACCUGACUGAAACACACUUAGCCAUGGAUCUGUGGGAAGUGAUGGUACAAUGAAGACUUUGCAGUGUGUCAUUGCUCGGUUUUCUCUACUCCAGUUUUGAAAGGAGAGAAGUCUA